CUCGGCUUCGCUCGGAGAGACACCCCGUAGCCCCCGGUGUCUGUUCAGUUACCAGCCAGCUCUCCCACCCAGCGACAGGGGAAAUGAAAUUUUGGGUCUAUUUAGUUUUCGUGGUGGCAGCUUUGCCAGGUGGCCGGUCCCAGAUCAACUUGGUGGAGUCCGGAGGGGAUGGGAAGAAGCCCGGAGACUCUCUGCGCCUCUCCUGCAAAGCCUCCGGCUUCGCUUUCUCUGACUAUACAAUGGAGUGGAUCCGGGACGUUCCCGGGAAGGGGUUUCAGUGGGUCGGUGGUAUAAACACCGGAUUAGUUGCCGCAUACCAGGAUUCCGUGAAAGGCCGGUUCACUAUCUCCAGGGAGAAUUCCCAGAGCGCGCUGUACCUGCAAAUGACCGGCCUGAAGCCCGAGGACACCGCCCGCUAUCACUGUGCUAGACACAGACACACAGUGACAGGGAACCGGUCUGCGACCGUCCAAAAACCCAGGCAGCGGAGCCGCCCCUCCCCCGGCAGCCGCGAGGGGGCAGCAUAAGGCCACUUUCUUCCCCCACCGCAGUGACAAUG